rnacentral:rRNA from 1 species
UCUCGGGAGGCAGCAGUAGGGAAUAUUGCUCAAUGGGGGAAACCUGAAGCAGCAACGCGCGUGGAGGAUGAAGGUUUUAGGAUUGUAAACUCCUUUUGUGAGAGAAGAUUAUGACGGUAUCUCACGAAUAAGCACCGGCUAACUCCGUGCCAGCAGCCGCGGUAAUACGGAGGGUGCAAGCGUUACUCGGAAUCACUGGGCGUAAAGAGUGCGCAGGCGGGGUGGUAAGUCGGAUGUGAAAUCCUGUAGCUUAACUACAGAACUGCAUUUGAAACUAUCACUCUA